rnacentral:rRNA from 1 species
GACGAACGCUGGCGGCGUGCUUAACACAUGCAAGUCGAACGGAAAGGCCUGCUUUCCCUUGUGGAUUGCGGGUACUCGAGUGGCGAACGGGUGAGUAACACGUGAGUGAUCUGCCCCCAACUUGGGUAUAAGCCUGGGAAACUGGGUCUAAUUCCCGAUAGGACUGCAGGGUGGUGCCUGUGGUGGAAGACGAUUUUCUAGUGGUUGGGGAUGAGCUCGCGGCCUAUCAGCUUGUUGGUGGGGUAAUGGCCUACCAAGGCGGCGACGGGUAGCCGGCCUGAGAGGGGGGACGGCGACAUUGGGACUGAGAUACGGCCCAGACUGCUACGGGAGGCAGCAGUGGGGAAGAUUGCACAAUGGGCGGAAGCCUGAUGCAGCGACGCCGCGUGGGGGAUGACGGCCUUCGGGAUGUAAACUCCUUUGGACCGCGAGGAAGCCACCUGGUUGGAAGGGUGGUGACGGUAGUGGUAUAAGAAGCACCGGCUAACUACGUG